rnacentral:rRNA from 1 species
AUUGAACGCUGGCGGCAGGCCUAACACAUGCAAGUCGAACGAGUGGCGGACGGGUGAGUAAUGUCUGGGCAACUGCCCGAUGGAGGGAGAUAACUACUGGAACCGGUAUCUAAUACCGCAUACCAUCGGAUGUGCCCCGAUGGGAUGAGCUAGUAGGUGGGGUAACGGCUCACCUAGGCCACGAUCCCUAGCUGGUCGGAGAGGAUGACCAGCCACACUGGAACUGAGACACGGUCCAGACUCCUACGGGAGGCAGCAGUGGGGAAUAUUGCACAAUGGGCGAAAGCCUGAUGCAGCCAUGCCGCGUGUAUGAAGAAGGCCUUCGGGUUGUAAAGUACUUUCAGCGAGGAGGCGUUACUCGCAGAAGAAGCACCGGCUAACUCCGUGCCAGCAGCCGCGGUAAUAC